UCUUUCUCUCUUCUUCUCAGUUCUUAGUGCUCCUCUUUCUCCCUAACCCUAACUCAAAUCAGAUUAUUCAAUCUCUUGCUCAUCAUAAUCAGCCACACCUUAUCAUGAUUCACUAGCAGUUCUUAUGGGGGGGAAGAAAAGCUAUUAGCAAACUCAAAUAAUAAGAAGUGGGUUUUGUUUUCCUUGUUAGCUAGUGGUGCAAAGAACUACCAGAUUUGAUAAAUGAGAAGUUGAAGAGAGGACAGUCUUGAAGCUUCUGUUGGGCAUGUAUGUAAAGAGUGAUUUCUGAAGUUUGAAGCCUAACUUGUUCAGAUCCGAAGAGAUUUGAAGAGUCUCUAACAAACCUCCAAUUUCUUACUCUUUUUAUUAUUUUUUCCCUUAUUUUUUCAUCAAAAUCUGAAGUACUGGGUAUAGGGAUUUGAGGUGAUAUGAUUUAUUAGAUUAGCCUUUUAGUUCGUUCAAAUAACUACGAUUGAAAUCCAUUCAGGGUUCUUGUAAUGAUGGUGUGGUAGUGGUGAUGAACUAAGAAUAAUUUGUUUCAAAUGAAAGAUUUGUGGAAGUUACUUCAAUUUUGGUUUUCUUUUGUUUUAUCUUUAUGGGUUUUAGUUUUCAAUUGAAAAUUUGGUUUUUCUGUUGAUUGUAGGAAGGUUAUUGGUCUAAUUUUCUGCAGUCUGGACUCGUUCGUUAAUGCAAUUGAGGUGUGGAAACAAGAGACUAUCUUGAGCAAAAGACCAGCAGAAUUGCACUUUGAGUGUUAGAGAAAAAUCCUGAAAGAACAGGAAAAGGGAUAACAUCAAAUCUAUAUGGUAAUUUAGUGGCAAAUACAACUGCAGUUGUUGCUGGAGGCACUGGUGUCAUUGCCAGGAGGUAGGGCACGCAAAAUCUCUUCCCUUCUGAAGUUGAUUGCUUGCCCUGAUUGGGAGAUGGGGCACGCAAAAUCUAAGGAGGAAAUCAACACUUACUGUUUCUCUUGUGGCUGCUGCUGGUAUCAUUAAGACAUCUAAAAAAAUUUUGGGUUGUGAAGUAGAUGGUCCAAAUGGAUCAGUUAACUAUACUUGGCAAAAAAGCACUGCAGUUAUAAAGAAAUAAUAAUCAAAAGCAUUGCGAGAUAACUGUGACGAAUUGUCCGUCUGCAGACUUGGUUGAGGCGUUUAUCAAGAUAAUAGAGGAUAAGGCUGACACGAUGUGAGUUUUAUCUGCUACUCAUUCAUACUUUUGCAUUACAAGAUUAUGUUUGUUAGCCCAGUUUUUUAUUCGCAACCAUCUUCGUAAAGAAGUUUAAAAACUAGUAUAGAUUUAUUUUUUAUUUCACCAAUAUAAUUAUUUGUUUAUAUAAUUGAUUCUGAGCAUCCUGUUUAUUUUAUUCUUCAUCAUUCUGAGCAAUGCCAUAUGGUGUAUGUGCACUGUCUAAUUUAUUGGGAGUUUCAAUGGGAUGAACAUUUUACAAAUAUAUAUCAUGGAUGAUGAGUGCCUCGCGGGCAUGGUUAUGAUUUCUCACUAAUGGAUCAUUUGGAAAUAUGAAUGCCCUCCACUGCCAGCGAGCAAUCUGUGAACUACUUGGCUCAAGCAAUAGAUUACUUCGGUGCGGUGUGAUAAUAAUGUGAUGUGAACCUUCUAUUGUUGGGAGUGUUUGAGAAGAGUAGUAAGCCUUCCCAAACAAAAAGACUUUGAUACGCUGUAAAUCGACAUUUAGAUGAAAAUUACGCGGAGCCUAGAUUAGGUGCCAGCUAGUUAGUGACUAGCAUUCCUUUUAUUCUCCAGUAAUGACGAGUGGCCAAACACCAAGUCAUUUAAACUGCUUGCUCCCAAGGCUCAAGCCAACACUAGGACAGCGUACAAUUACUGCUCUUAAUAAAAUUUUACGGAACAAUCUGUUUUCACUUUCCUGAAUGAUUGAAUCGGUCAUCCUGUCAGUCAUUGGUUGUUGGAUACCAUUUUUUUCUUCAGCUUAGGUUUACAUACUAAAGGCUUGAUGACGAGGCACAUGCUGGACAGAUUACGCGGCAUUGAAGGGAUGCAUUACUUUGAGGAGCAAUAAGAAAUAAGAAAUUGCAUAACGAAUGGAACGAUUCUGUUGUACCUCUGUUCAUAAUGAAUGUAUGAAUCUUCUUUGAGAAUGCAUGAACUGCAGAUUGAAAAAUAAGAAAUUGCAGGCCUGGGU